GAAGUAGGUUAGGUUAUCGCUCUGCAUCGCUGCAGAGAGGAAAGUCCGAGCUCCAACGGGUAAGAAGCUGGGUAACGCCCAGAGUAAGCAAUUGCUGGAAAGUGCAACAGAAAGUAAACCGCCUAUGUUUGAUAGGUAAGGGUGAAACAGGGAGGUAAGAGCUCCCUCAUUGUCUACGCAAGUAGUGAUGCGGUAAACCCCUUCUGGAGCAAGGCCAAAUAGGAAAGCGCUUUAAGAGUGACCCACUCUUGGUUUUCGGGUAGGCCGCUGAGAUGAAUGAUAGCCACCUCUAAAAGGUACAGAACUCGGCUUAUCGACCUACUUCCCUU
rnacentral:RNase_P_RNA from 1 species